AUUGAACGCUGGCGGCAGGCUUAACACAUGCAAGUCGAGCGAGCGGCGGACGGGUGAGUAAUGUCUGGGAAACCGCCCGAUGGAGGGGGAUAACUACUGGAAACGGUAGCUAAUACCGCAUACCAUCAGAUGUGCCCAGAUGGGAUUAGCUAGUAGGUGGGGCAAUGGCUCACCUAGGCGACGACCCCUAGCUGGUCUGAGUGGAUGACAAGCCACACUUGAACUGGGAAACGGUCCAGACUCCUACGGAGGGCGGCAGUGGGGAGUAUUGCACAAUGGGCACAAGCCUGAUGCGGCCAUGCCGCUUGUGUGAAAAGGGCCUUCGGGUUGUAAAGCACUUUCAGCGAGGAGGCGUUACUCGCAGAAGAAGCACCGGCUAACUCCGUGCCAGCAGCCGCGGUAAUUC
rnacentral:rRNA from 1 species